CCACAACUGAAGCCAAUAUGAAAACCUUGUCAGUUCUUUGGGGUACAAUGGAAAAUCAUUUUGGAAGUAGAUUAUUACUUUCUUCUAAUCUCCUGGAUUCAGACUGAUUCAACUCUGACUGUCACAGUCAUUUGGGGGUGAAGGAUUGUCUGCUGAAACAAUAUUUAAGCUAUAACCUGAAGUUUGAGUAGAAAUUGACAGAUAAUCAGUCAGAGGAAGAUAAGUACAUCCCAGACAUAAGAGGCUUCCUAGAUAAAAACAAUGACAUUAAACGGAACUUGAGUCUAA